UUCCUUUCAAAUCAUACUUCAUUACAAUUCAAUUCUAUAAUCAUUCAACAAUAACAAUAAUCUUCCAUCAUUCUUCUAAAUUCUAAGAUUGAAAUUGAGAGUGUGUGGUGGUGGUGUGUGGAUCGAUUUCAAGAGGGAAAAAGGGGAAGAAUAGAAUGAUUUUGAUUCUCUUCAAGUGUGUUAAUUUUAAUUAAUAAAAUCCUUCCAAGAUAAUAAUAAUAAUCACUUCAAUUAGUUAACUAGUGAAUUGGAGAAAUGGGGUGUGGGUGUGUGUGUGUGUCGAACCACACCAAGAAGGAAAAGAGGAAGGAGCUUGAUUCUAGUUGUUUGGUUUCUUUGUAGUAGAUUUCUUCUUUAAGGUUGAAAGCUUUGCACUUGUUGUAGCAUUCUUGAUUGUUGUUAGUCGCGGAGGAGGUAGUUCCGAAAGAAGGAACUAGGUUGGUUUGAUUUGGAGGAUUAGAGCUUGAAGUUGUUUGUAGAUACUUGGAAGGUAAUUUGGCUAUUCUUGGAUGAAUGGCAUGUUUUUGGUAGAAACCUAGUUGUCCCUCUCUACUUUGGCUCAUGGUACAAAUUUGGUUGUUUAUGGUCAUGUUUUGGUACAUUUGUUUAUGGAUAUGCUUGGUCAAUUGCUUUUCAAAUUCUGGUCGUUGUUGGAUUAGUUGUAUUGUGGUAUGUUUUAACAAGUUUGUAAAUGUGUUUGUGAUUAGUUUUA